UGUAGAUGCCUCUCCUGGAGACUCUUUGAAUCUACUUCAUGAGAUCCAUGACACUGUCUGCUAUGUCGUUGCAGAGCUUCUUGCAUGGAAUGAUGGACUGCCUCAUCCUUCUUUCAUUGGCUAACACAUGGACUUUGUCAAGUUCAACUGCCGAUGUCAUCCCAUUGGCCAGAAAGUAUUCAUGGAAGGAGAGAAAAUUCUCUCCUCUGGAACAUGUGAGUGGUAGAACUCAGGAAAAUGCAGGAUCAGUUAUAUAUGCAUACAUAUGAAUAUUUCAUACAUAACAUUGACUAAUAAUUGUAAUGGCCUUUUAUCAAACUGAUGAUUCAUGUACCUAAAUGUUUUGCUAUUGAUUUAACAAUUAUUCUAUAUUUAAUCUGUGAAAUUAUUGAGUUAGAAUUGAAAUACAGUUAUAACUGCUUCAUUAAAGAAAAUGUUACACUUGCUAUAGUUUUUUAUUUAGCUCUACCUGUAUAUGCAAUUGUACAAUCAAUAUUAUUCAUAUAAUGCUUUAAUAUUUUUGCAACCAGAAACUAUUAAAAAGCAACUAUUUAAAGAAUAAUCUUUAUAUCUGUGGUCAUGUAUCUAUUUUCUAAAUGAGAAGAUAAACGUGAUUUAUCUGUGAAAUAUAUGGGCAUUAAUAACUAGAAGGGCCAGAACAUCACAAGCUUACAAGAUAUUGUUUAGUUUAAAUAAAAAAAGUUGCUGCUAAAUAUUUCUCUUAUAUAUCUAAAUUAAGUUAGCAAAUAAGCCAGAUAUAAUCUUGACAUUACAGGAACAUGACUUCACUAAGUUUUUCUCUUUAGUAGCUCAAUUUUAUAUUCAUUUAUUCAUCUAAUACUAAUUAAAGGUCUACUGUCUUUCAUUCAGCACAAGGCUAAGCAUUGGCAAUAGCUUAGUUAUCCAUAGUAUAUCUCUAUAUAGAUCUUAGAAUUUGUUUCCCUUGAAAUUUGAAAUAUUAAGAAGAUACGUCUUUUCUAUUAUAUACCUAUUUAUAUAUCUGUUACGGGCUGAAAUGUGGCCCCGAAAUUCAUAUGUUGAAGUCCUAACCCCAAAUAUCUCAGAAUAAGACUGCAUUUGGAGAUGGAGCCUUUAAGAAGUGACUAAGGUAGAAUUAGGUCAGAUGUGUGAGCCCUAAUCUAAUUUGACUGGUGUCCAUAAAAGAAAAGGAGAUUAAGACAUACAUAACACAUAGAGAGAUGACCGUGGGAAGACACAAGAAGGUGGCCAUCUGCAAGCCAAGUAGGGAGGCCUCAGAAGUUGCUAAACUUGCUCACACCUUGAUUGUGGAUGUCUAGCCUUCAACCACCCCCUCUGCGGUAUUUUCUUAAGCCCGUCCUAGCCCUAGGAGACUAAUAGAAUUAUCUAAUCUCUCUCUCCUCUCUCUCUCUCUCUGCAUAUAUAAUACUAUAAUACUUGUUUUUUGCUUUUUGCUUGUUUGGUUAUCCACAAACAAGCAAAACUAUCACUUUCUGUUAAACUAUCACUUUCUGUAGAACUAUCACUUUCUGUUAAAUACAACUGCAUCACUUUUUUAUGGUUGUAUACAUGGAUGUAUCAUGUAUAUGUAUCAUAUGUAUAUAAUAUGUGCAUAGAUAUAUAAAUAUAUGUGUGUGUAAAUAGAUAUAUAAACUCCUGAACUCUUUCAAUCAAUC
rnacentral:lncRNA from 1 species